ACAGAGGGGGCAAGCGUUGUUCGGAAUUACUGGGCGUAAAGGGCGCGUAGGCGGCCUUCUAAGUCAGACGUGAAAUCCCCGGGCUCAACCCGGGAACUGCGUCUGAUACUGGAAGGCUCGAAUCCGGGAGAGGGAUGUGGAAUUCCAGGUGUAGCGGUGAAAUGCGUAGAUAUCUGGAGGAACACCGGUGGGGAAGGCGGCAUCCUGGACCGGUUCUGACGCUGAGGCGCGAAAGCGUGGGGAGCAAACGGGA
rnacentral:rRNA from 1 species